rnacentral:rRNA from 1 species
UGCAGAAUCCCGCGAACCAUCGAGUCUUUGAACGCAAGUUGCGCCCGAGGCCACUUGGCCGAGGGCACGCCUGCCUGGGCGUCACGCCAAACACGCUCCCACCCCUCAUCGGGUNGUGGGAUGCGGCAUGUGGCUCCCCGUCUUGCAAGGGGCGGUGGGCCGAAGAUGCGGCUGCCGGCGUAUCGUGCCGGACACAGCGCGUGGUGGGCGAACUCGCUUUACUUACCGCAGUGCAUCCGGCCCAUAGCCGACGUGAUGGCCUUAAGGACCCUAUGAACGGAGCGCAUGACGCUCCGACCGCGACCCCAGGUCAGGCGGGACUACCCGCUGAAUUUAAGCAUAUAAAUAAGCGGAGGAGAAGAAACUUACAAGGAUUCCCCUAGUAACGGCGAGCGAACCGGGAUCAGCCCAGCUUGAGAAUCGGGCGGCCGUGCCGUCCGA